CGCAAGGGAGGAUUUUCCUCGGGUACUGACCAUACCCCGACCCCAGUCCGAUAGGUCAUGGAAUGACCCCAUGGUGCUGAGAGGGCAUCC
rfam:Culex flavivirus, complete genome